rnacentral:rRNA from 1 species
UACGAAGGGGGCUAGCGUUGCUCGGAAUUACUGGGCGUAAAGCGCACGUAGGCGGAUUGCUAAGUCAGGGGUGAAAUCCUGGAGCUCAACUCCAGAACUGCCUUUGAUACUGGCGACCUUGAGUCCGGGAGAGGUGAGUGGAACUGCGAGUGUAGAGGUGAAAAUUCGUAGAUAUUCGGAAGAACACCAGUGGCGAAGGCGGCUCACUGGACCGUUGUUGACGCUGAGGUGCGAAAGCGUGGGGAGCAAACAG